UUCCUGCAGUGCNAACGGGUGAGUAUACAUCGGAACGUGCCCGAGAGUGGGGGAUAACGAAGCGAAAGCUUUGCUAAUACCGCAUACGAUCUCAGGAUGAAAGCAGGGGACCGCAAGGCCUUGCGCUCACGGAGCGGCCGAUGGCAGAUUAGGUAGUUGGUGGGAUAAAAGCUUACCAAGCCGACGAUCUGUAGCUGGUCUGAGAGGACGACCAGCCACACUGGGACUGAGACACGGCCCAGACUCCUACGGGAGGCAGCAGUGGGGAAUUUUGGACAAUGGGCGCAAGCCUGAUCCAGCCAUGCCGCGUGCAGGAUGAAGGCCUUCGGGUUGUAAACUGCUUUUGUACGGAACGAAAAGACUCUGGUUAAUACCUGGGGUCCAUGACGGUACCGUAAGAAUAACACCGGCUAACUACGUGCCAGCAGCCGCGGUAAUACGUAGGGUGCGAACCGUUAAUCGGAAUUACUGGGGCGUAAAGCUGCGCAGGCGGUAUGUAAAAAGAUGUAAAU
rnacentral:rRNA from 1 species